UUUAGUUCCCAACAUUCUUUUUGGGUGGCUCGAAACUUCCUGUAACUCCAGCUCCUUGGACAUCCAAUAUCUCUGGCCUGCACACAGAUACACAUAAAUAUAUACACAUAAACAUAAUUACCAAUAAUAAAAAAUUUAAAUGAGUUAUCAAAGGCGAUUUAUCACAUGUAUAGAACAGGCCAAGUGUAGAAAAACAUAGAAGUCAUUGUUAGUCUUGAAUUCAGCAAGCGUUAAUCAAUCUAUAUUUAAUUCAGUUCAGUGGCAUUCAUUAAGGAUGAAUUAAUCACUAUAGGAUUAAGCCUUUAUCCUAUAGUGUCCAGUUUUUCUCUACUUCUGAAAUGAGUUGUUCACCAGUAUUAUCUUCUCCCAUCCUAAGCUGUUCAUUUUAAGAUGUGGCAGAGUAAAGUGGUUUUUCCUAACUUACUUGCUAUCAACAUACCACUGGAAAAAAUCUCUGAGGUAUCAAAGAAUUUCUCCAUGAAGCCAGAUAAGUAUUCAAGAAUGCAUGGACCAGUAUAGGUUCGCUCUUGUUUCUACACCUCCAGAAUGAUAGCUGACAUUUUUGUUUUGUUUUUCAGCAGUUGCCAUGAGCCAAACCCUAAGUUAAAUAUGUAUCCUACAUAAGAGCUAAUCUCACCACUACAUGCCCAUCUAUGGAAGAUCUAACAGAAGCUUAGGGAACUAAGCAACAUAACAUAUCCAGCAAAAGGCAAGAUUCUAACCUAUACAGCCUGAUGCUAGAGCCUGUGAUGACCACUGUGCUUUGCUACCAACUGACUGAACUCCAGCCAGCCAAAUGAAACCAUGUACCCUUGGCAUAAGAGCCUAGGUAAAAUAAUAUGCAGUAGUAUAGUGUGGAUCCAUUGCAAUUACUGGAAAAUUGGUUUAAAAUACUAUUUGCAGUGAGACCAUCUUUAGACUUGGAUAUUCUUGAUUCUUAGUUCAAAAAAGUUAUUUUGUCAAUAAAACAUGCUUAAAGGAGUAACUAGGAGGGUAAAGCAGUUACAGCUUAGUGAUACAAAUACAUUUCUCUGUAGACUUCCUUAAGGAAAGACGUGAGUAGAGCUAGGUUGGGCAGAUGGACAGGUGGCAAUAGUAAGCUUAUCCGAAGCCUACAGUGAGAAACCAUGUAGGCUUCUUGCCCGUUUCUAAUCACCAUUCUGUGUGUCUUCUGUUUUUCUUGAUUUUUUUCAAGUGUGGUAUUCAUUUUUAACCCAUUUCCGCUUUAGGUCUUCCUGGUUUUUCAUAGUCAACAUUCCACUGAAAUGUACAUAGAAUUGCCAGUGUAUAAAUUAAGAUGUUUUAUUGUUGUUGUCCUUCUUAAUCUCAUUAUACUUCAUCAUGUUGAGUUUCCCAACAUGUGAUGACUAUUCUUGGUUGUCAUCUUGAAUACUACUAGGUGAUUAGGCCUAUUGGUAGAUAGCCAUUGUUGAACUACCUGGACCACAAUUUGUAAGCCAUUCUAAUACAUCCCCUUUAUAUGUAUUUUUUCAUUCUAUAAGUUCUGUUCUAGAGAAUCCCAAGUAAUACAGAUUUUCAUAUCAGAGGUGGUUCUAGAGCAAUAGAAGUAUUAAGGUGAAUUUUUUUUAAGUAUUUGGGAUAGGUUUGCAGACACCUACAGUUACUGAAGUCUCUCAGAAACUCAGGGAAUAUUGAAAACCCAUGCUGUGAACUGUUUUACAAACUUACAGAGAUAAAUGCAUUUGAUUAUCCUGAUUUACCAGUUGUGAGAGGCAAGAAAUUUGUUGAGUCUGUAUAUAAAACUUGAAAAUUUGUAGAAAAAAUAAGGAAAAUGAUACUGCUGGUUGGUUCCUGCUAGCAUCUCUGAACAAAGGACAAAGGGAAAGAAUGCGCUGCUUGAUAAAAUUAACCAAAUUCUAGCAUCUCAGAGUACAGUGAAAAGCAGCAGUGUACUCAGUGAUAAAGUUAGCCAGCUCCAGAUAUGCAUAAAGAGUCUAAAGGUUUCUAAGUGUAUCUUGCAAGAGAAUCUCCACUCCAGCAAUCACAGCUCAAAUUGUGGACAAUCAAACCAAAGCCUUCAUUUAAGUUUGGCCACAUUUCAAAGAAAAUUGAAGUCCCAGCCUCAGAGAGUGUCGGUGGUUAAAGUAAGAGAACAUUGGUUGGUCAGCAACGUGAUCUGUAACUUGAUGUGGAGACGGGUGGUAGGACCCUGCUGAGGUUCAGAACUUUGAACCCUCAGGUUCUCCUGGGUUUACUUCACCUGAGGGAAUAGCCUCUCUACCUCGCAGAAAAUGUACCCUACCCCUCAAAUAUUGCCUUGGUUUGGUUUGGUUUGGUUUGGUUUGGGUUUGUUUUUGCCUUUGAGGAAAUAAAGAGUGGGUACUUAAGGAAGGUAGUUGCAAAUACCAACUAUGGCCAUGCGAUCAGGCGCAGAAAUGAGGAUUACUGUUUCUUCCAGAUUUUGUUAAGAAUGUGUUCAGAUAUUUGUGUUUUCUUUCCUCAAUUUCUUACCAUGUAAUGUAACAUCAAUUAAGAGAAUAUCUGUAGUUACCAUAUUUAAGAUUUGAGAUACCAAAAGAAUGUCCCUCAAGGGACAUUGCCAUUUAUUCUAGAAUUAAUCAUGCAUUUGAGGUAAUACAAAAUAUAGUUUUAUCAUGUUAGGUGUAAUUAUGAUUUGAUUAAAUAUAUAAUGCAUUUGCAGUUGUACAUGGGCUAGUUAUAUCAUUUUAGGUGUAAUUAUGACCUGGCUAUUAUUUUCAUUUGGAAAUUAAGCAUGGCAUAAGAAGAUAUGAUUGUGUGUCAAGGUGACAAGGGGUGAACUUCAGAUGGCUCUUCUUGGUUGUCAGCCCGACUACAUUUGGAAUUAACUGAAGCCAAACUGCUGGGUACACCUGUGAGGAUUUUUUUUUCCUUAAGUAAAUCAUUUCAAGUGUAAAAACUAUUUUCUUUUAAUCUGGAUCUUUUGAGGUAAGAAGAUCCACCUUUAGUCAGGGCCACACCUUCUGAUGGCAUUCAAAUAUAAGGCUGUGGAAGAAGGAAGCUUUUGCGGUUGUUUCCUUGCUCCUGCUAGUAAGUCCAUGCCUUCAAUAGGAUUAGAGCCAACUUCAGGAUUCUGGAAUGUUAGGAAGAGCAGCUGAGACUUCUAUCCUGAUAGAAUAAAACAACUGCCUGAUUCUAGGGUUUUCCAUUAAUAGACAGCCAUUGUUCUCUCUGGACCACAGCCUGGAAGCUACUCUAAUUCCCUUUUUCUACAUAUGUGUAGAUUCAUUCUAUAAGGUCUGUUCUCUAAAGAACCUUAACUAAUGCAUCAUAAGAAUUCUCCUUUCUUUGUCUUAUGGUAUUUUUUAGGUCAUUUCUCUUCUAUAUCAGGCUCUUGUUAAUUAGUCUUUUUUGUCUUCUAUACUAAAAAUAAUUUCUGUACCCUGUUUUUACUUUUGUGUUCCUAUUUAUCUAUUUUGUUACUUCGUGUAUUUGAGUUACUUUCUAUUUUCCACUUUGUAUGUCAUCCACUGCUUGGGGAAUUUUCCUCAGGUACCUACACACCCUGAUAUUUGAAACCAAAACUCACUGUUCUGCCUCAAUUUGUAUUUUAUUUUGAAAUAAACAUCAUUGCCUAAUUGCUCUACCC
rnacentral:lncRNA from 1 species